GUUGUUAGCGUAAAUGGGGUAGUUCUGUUCAGUGACAGUUUAUAAGGUUCUGUACGAAACCUGGCCGCAGAACAUAUUUUUUAAUCUCUCCUCAUAUGUGCUAAUUUUCAACAGUCUAAUAAGCAACAAGUAUUACAUUCGUCAGAUAUUAAGUUUGAGGAAACGGCCUGUCUCAAACAUGUCUUACGGAAAAGCAGAAUUUCGCCCUGUCGCAAGAGACUUCAGCACUCUCAUUCAGACAUGCAGCUCAAACAUCCAGAAGAUCACACAAAGCACUGCUCAGAUCAAGACUAUGGUGAACCAAUUGGGGACCAAACAGGACACCAGUGAACUUCAAGAUCGUCUGUAUGUACAACCAAUGUAUACAUAUAAGUGUGUGUGUAUAUAUA